rnacentral:tRNA from 1 species
GGAAGUCAUCCGGCUGGAUGAGGAGCCUGUCUCGAAAACAGGUGCGGAGACGAUGUCCCGUUGUGGGUUCGAGUCCCACGGCUUCCG